CGUUAUAAAUACUAUAAAAGCAAUCCUCGUAUGUCUCUGUCUUAGAAACAGGAGACUCUCAACAAGUGUGUUGGUUUAUGCAUCUACACUAAACAUACCUAAAUAUUUUAGUAUAUAAAUAUAUGAUCAAUAUUAAAGCCGAGGUGGAGAGCGGCGGAUCGGAGGGCGAUGGAAUGGUGGCGGAGAGUUUGGUGCGCUGUUUCUUCUCGUCUCAGACCUCAUAAAACUGGCAGAAGAGGACUAGUGAAACUACACGACGACAUUCAAACAUGUGGAUACGAGGAUGUACAGAUUAUGUGGGAAAUGUUGAGGCCCACGGAAUUAAAACAUAAGAAAAAAGGUGGUGGGCGCUUUUGUACAAACAAAGUGUGUCUAUCUAAGCACCACAAUAAAUACUAAAGUACAGUAUAUAUUAUGUUAUUGUUAAUGUUAAUGUUAAUGUUAAUAUGAAGAAGGAUUGGCAAUUUGGCAUCAUCAAUAUAUAUCCAUCUAUCAAUUUACCAAUGAUCA